UACGUAGGGAGCAAGCGUUGUCCGGAAUCAUUGGGCGUAAAGCGCGCGUAGGUGGCCCCAUAAGUCCGCUGUGAAAGUCAAAGGCUCAACCUUUGAAAGCCGGUGGAUACUGUGGGACUAGAGUACGGAAGAGGCGAGUGGAAUUCCUGGUGUAGCGGUGGAAUGCGCAGAUAUCAGGAGGAAUACCAAUAGCGAAGGCAGCUCGCUGGGACGUUACUGACACUGAGGCGCGAAAGCGUGGGGAGCGAACAGG
rnacentral:rRNA from 1 species